UGGAGAGUUUGAUCCUGGCUCAGGACGAACGCUGGCGGCGUGCCUAAUACAUGCAAGUAGAACGCACAGGAUGCACCGUAGUUUACUACACCGUAUCCUGUGAGUUGCGAACGGGUGAGUAACGCGUAGGUAACCUGCCUGGUAGCGGGGGAUAACUAUUGGAAACGAUAGCUAAUACCGCAUAAGAACAUUUACUGCAUGGUAGAUGUUUAAAAGGUGCAAAUGCAUCACUACCAGAUGGACCUGCGUUGUAUUAGCUAGUUGGUGAGGUAACGGCUCACCAAGGCAACGAUACAUAGCCGACCUGAGAGGGUGAUCGGCCACACUGGGACUGAGACACGGCCCAGACUCCUACGGGAGGCAGCAGUAGGGAAUCUUCGGCAAUGGGGGGAACCCUGACCGAGCAACGCCGCGUGAGUGAAGAAGGUUUUCGGAUCGUAAAGCUCUGUUGUUAAGGAAGAACGUGUGUGAGAGUGGAAAGUUCACACAGUGACGGUACUUAACCAGAAAGGGACGGCUAACUACGUGCCAGCAGCCGCGGUA
rnacentral:rRNA from 1 species